GAUGAACGCUGGCGGCGUGCCUAAUACAUGCAAGUCGAGCGAACGGACGAGAAGCUUGCUUCUCUGACGUUAGCGGCGGACGGGUGAGUAACACGUGGAUAACCUACCUAUAAGACUGGGAUAACUUCGGGAAACCGUAGCUAAUACCGGAUAAUAUUUUGAACCGCAUGGUUCAAAAGUGAAAGACGGUCUUGCUGUCACUUAUAGAUGGAUCCGCGCUGCAUUAGCUAGUUGGUAAGGUAACGGCUUACCAAGGCAACGAUGCGUAGCCGACCUGAGAGGGUGAUCGGCCACACUGGAACUGAGACACGGUCCAGACUCCUACGGGAGGCAGCAGUAGGGAAUCUUCCGCAAUGGGCGAAAGCCUGACGGAGCAACGCCGCGUGAGUGAUGAAGGUCUUCGGAUCGUAAAACUCUGUUAUUAGGGAAGAACAAAUGUGUAAGUAACUAUGCACGUCUUGACGGCACCUAAUCAGAAAGCCACGGCUAACUACGUG
rnacentral:rRNA from 1 species